UUACGGGAGGCAGCAGUCGAGAAUAAUUCACAAUGGGGGCAACCCUGAUGGUGCAACGCCGCGUGGAGGAUGACGGUCUUCGGAUUGUAAACUCCUGUCAUCCGGGAGUAAGACCUGGGGGUUAAAAGCUCACAGGGUUGAUAGUACCGGAAGAGGAAGGGACGGCUAACUUCGUGCCAGCAGCCGCGGUAAUACGAAGGUCCCGAGCGUUGUUCGGAAUCACUGGGCGUAAAGGGAGCGCAGGCGGCGCGGCAAGUCGGAUGUGAAAUCCCGGGGCUCAACCCCGGAACUGCAUUCGAUACUGCCGUGCUAGAGGAUUGGAGAGGUAGCUGGAAUUCUUGGUGUAGCAGUGAAAUGCGUGGAUAUCAAGAGGAACACUCGUGGCGAAAGCGAGCUACUGGACAACUCCUGACGCUGAGGCUCGAAGGCCAGGGUAGCGAAAGGGAUUAGAUACCCCGGUAGA
rnacentral:rRNA from 1 species